rnacentral:rRNA from 1 species
GUGAGGAAUAUUGGUCAAUGGGCGGAAGCCUGAACCAGCCAUCCCGCGUGCAGGAAGACGGCCCUAUGGGUUGUAAACUGCUUUUCCAGGGGGUGAAUUUCUCGGUCGUGACCGGGAUUGACGGUACCCUGGGAAUAAGCAUCGGCUAACUCCGUGCCAGCAGCCGCGGUAAUACGGAGGAUGCGAGCGUUAUCCGGAUUUAUUGGGUUUAAAGGGUGCGUAGGCGGGCCAAUAAGUCAGUGGUGAAAACCUGCAGCUUAACUGUAGACUUGCCGUUGAUACUGUUGGUCUUGAGUAUGGUCAAGGUAGGCGGAAUGUGUAAUGUAGCGGUGAAAUGCUUAGAUAUUACACAGAACACCGAUUGCGAAGGCAGCUUACUGGGCCAUUACUGACGCUGAUGCACGAAAGCGUGGGGAGCGAACAGGAUUAGAUACCCUGGUAGUCC